UGCUCUGUGGGACAGUGGCGAACGGGUGAGUAACACGUGAGCAACCUGCCCCUGACUCUGGGAUAAGCGCUGGAAACGGCGUCUAAUACUGGAUACGAGCAACGGCCGCAUGGCCAGUUGUUGGAAAGAUUUUUUGGUUGGGGAUGGGCUCGCGGCCUAUCAGCUUGUUGGUGAGGUAAUGGCUCACCAAGGCGUCGACGGGUAGCCGGCCUGAGAGGGUGACCGGCCACACUGGGACUGAGACACGGCCCAGACUCCUACGGGAGGCAGCAGUGGGGAAUAUUGCACAAUGGGCGGAAGCCUGAUGCAGCAACGCCGCGUGAGGGAUGACGGCCUUCGGGUUGUAAACCUCUUUUAGCAGGGAAGAAGCGAAAGUGACGGUACCUGCAGAAAAAGCGCCGGCUAACUACGUGCCAGCAGCCGCGGUAAUACGUAGGGCGCAAGCGUUAUCCGGAAUUAUUGGGCGUAAAGAGCUCGUAGGCGGUUUGUCGCGUCUGCUGUGAAAUCCCGAGGCUCAACCUCGGGCCUGCAGUGGGUACGGGCAGACUAGAGUGCGGUAGGGGAGAUUGGAAUUCCUGGUGUAGCGGUGGAAUGCGCAGAUAUCAGGAGGAACACCGAUGGCGAAGGCAGAUCUC
rnacentral:rRNA from 1 species